rnacentral:tRNA from 1 species
GCGCUCGUAGCUCAGUUGGUAGAGCAUCUGACUCUUAAUCAGAGGGUCCAGGGUUCGAACCCCUGCGGGCGUA